rnacentral:rRNA from 1 species
CGCAACCCUCGCUGUGUGUUACAAGUGUCACACGGAACUGCCGGUCAUAAACCGGAGGAAGUGGGGAUGACGUCAAGUCAGCAUGGCCUUUAUAUCCUGGGCUACACACACGCUACAAUGGGAAGGGACAAUAGGUUGCGAAGCCGCGAGGCGGAGCCAAUCCAGCAAAACUUCCCUCAGUUCAGAUUGCAGGCUGCAACUCGCCUGCAUGAAGUUGGAGUUGCUAGUAAACGCAGGUCAGCCAUACUGCGUUGAAUACGUUCCCGGGGCUU